CGCACUUAUUUACCUUAAGAUUAAAAUUCUAAACACUAGGCAAAAGUAAGCUUAUUAACAAAUAAAAAAAACCUAAGUCGAACAUAAAAGAAAAAAAUAAAUACAUUCUUUUGUGUUUACCAUGUAUGAAAAGAAAAACAAAAGGUAAGGCUUUAAUGCAGACCAUAAGGGGACCACACAUGUAGUAGUAUUUGGUACGUAUCCGAUACUCAUUUACUCAAAUGGUGUACUCAUGCUUCAUAAUUUACGUCGCAGUCGAAGAGAACUAGUUGAAGGAUCGGCA
rnacentral:lncRNA from 1 species